GAUGCUCUUUCUUCACCAAGAAGAAAAUAGAAUCUGACAUAUAUGUGAUGCAGGUAAUGCAAAGCCUCAUAGACCUAGGAGCACUUCAACCUACAGGGGACUUAUCAUCAGUAAGAAGAUCUGUACAAUUUUUCUUGAACAAUCUGCUUAACCAGACACCAGAUCAGGCACAGACUCUUUCUGCCAUUGGUGAGGAUCUAUUUGCUAUAGCACAAGAUCAGCCAUUCCGUUUUCCAUCUAUUUGCUGGUUU